AUGAACGUUGCACUUAUGCUACGAUGGGUGUGGCGGAUCAUGCGCGGCGAGGGAGGACUGUGGCUACAGCUGAUUCAAGCAAAAUAUCUGAGAGGUGAACCUCUCCUGGCGUGCUCACGACCGGGAGGUUCCCGGUUUUGGCGAUCCAACCAAAAGAUAAAGGAGGAUAGCCGCCUUGAGAUUUCCUUCACUAUAGGUAAUGGGGACGGGACCCAAUGGUUAGACCCAUGGAUGGGUACCGAGACCCUCAGGGUGGGCUUCCCUACCCUUUUCUCUAGAUUCACGGACCUGUCUAUCCUAGUUUCUGAGGCAUCACGUUCGGGACAGUGGGAUAUCCGGUCCCGCCGGAUGUUUGGGCAGGCAGAGCAUGUUGAGUGGACUAGACUGUUGGCAGCCCUGCCGCCAGUGUUGCCGGACUAUCCGGACACUGUAUCGUGGCGGCUCUAA
rnacentral:rRNA from 1 species